rnacentral:rRNA from 1 species
GACGCUGCGGCAUGCCUUACCAUGCAAGUCGAACGGCAGCGCGGGAGCAAUCCUGGCGGCGAGUGGCGAACGGGUGAGUAAUACAUCGGAACGUGCCCAAUCGUGGGGGAUGACGCAGCGAAAGCUGUGCUAAUACCGCAUACGAUCUACGGAUGAAAGCAGGGGAUCGCAAGACCUUGCGCGAAUGGAGCGGCCGAUGGCAGAUUAGGUAGUUGGUGAGGUAAAGGCUCACCAAGCCUUUGAUCUGUAGCUGGUCUGAGAGGACGACCAGCCACACUGGGACUGAGACACGGCCCAGACUCCUACGGGAGGCAGCAGUGGGGAAUUUUGGACAAUGGGCGAAAGCCUGAUCCAGCCAUGCCGCGUGCAGGAUGAAGGCCUUCGGGUUGUAAACUGCUUUUGUACGGAACGAAAAGGUCUUUUCUAAUAAAGAAGGCUCAUGACGGUACCGUAAGAAUAAGCACCGGCUAACUACGUGCCAGCAGCCGCGGUAAU